AAUCUGCGAUCAAUGCGAAAUAAAAUAUCUAUAGAGUUUCUUUGAAACACCGACUGCCGCCGGUAAACAAGGAAGGACGUUAGGAAAAUAUAGCAAUGCUCAGUCAAAAUACGUUUUAUUUACUCAAGGUUCAUUGCCAUAAUGAAAGAACGGAUGAAUCAACAGAUACACUGAAAGAAAAUAAUGAAAGCCAAUCUCUUUUACGGCGAUCAAAACUAAAAGUUUGCUCAGUCAACAUUCGUGACUAAAGCGUUUGGUGCUUUGUUUAGAAGCUGUUUUUUUUUUCAAGGGAAGAAAACCCGUUUGAGCAACGGAGGGGAGAGUCUAAGAAAUUCUUUUCACGUAUGAGAUGCCAGGUCCAAGAAUCCAAUGAGAGGCGUCAGUCACAUUUACAAACCCAGCGCCUGUCGAUUCAAGCUUUCAAACCCCCGUGCGAGAGCGUCUGUAUUUUUUCCGCAACUGCUCCAAACUGCAAUGUAUAUCCGAGGGCAGGAAAAGAGAAUGAUAAUCUACUUCAUGUCACACUCUCUGGUAUCAGAGAGGACACAGAGGAUGGUAUUCUUGUACUGACUAGCAUCAUCAGGUCUUAACGUCCACCUUAUGAAACACAUCCCCAAACACAAGCUUUUUACAACUGGAGUUUGCAUGGCGAUCCAAAUGCUUGAGCUUUUGAUCACACAAUUCGAAGGCUCUCCAAGAAUUCAAUAUUUGAUCUAGUGCCAUCCUACUCUUCAUCAUUCUCUGUCUCCGAUUCUCCUUACAUUUUGCUGAACCGUCAAUUUUCUUCUGUGUCCUCUGACGUAUCCUGUAUCCCAAUUAACUUUAACAAAUGAUAUGUUUUUCUUAAACUUAAUUAGCUGUUCACAAACGAAAUUAUACUAUAAUUACCUCAGAACAUUGCUUUUGAAAGUGGAACUAUCUUUGAUAACGCAUUUCCGCAACAGAAAUUGACUUCGGGAAUGAUUGAACAAUUAGUCAAGUUAAAGAUCCUUUUCCGCUCUUAAUUUUCUUCCACUCUAAAGCUAGGCUCUUUAGAGAGUCAGUUAUUAAAUUUGACUCAAAGAGCAAUAAAUCCGAACAAAAUACGAUAUACAUAUGUAUAUAUACACAUUUAUAUUUACUUUUAAAGUUGAAAGAAUAUUUUGUGGAUUAUUAUAAAAAAGAAACAGAGAAAACGAGAGAAUGAUCUCAUGACAACAUCUAUUUUUGGUCAUCUAUAAGUAAAUAAAAAAUCUUCAAAUUUUAUCGAUACCCUGAAGCUCAAGAGAAUGUUUUUGGGAAAUUAUUUCUAGCUUUAAAGCAAUUUCGAAGGCUCAGUGCCUUUUGGGGAUUUCAGCUUCACAUAAGUAUGAAAUUCAACGCAAAACAUAAUGUUGAAUAACAACAUUUUCCGUCGGUGUAUCAUGUUAUUGAUCGUCAAUGAUCUUGGCACCAUAGUUAAUAUUAAUUAUGGUGGCACAACGCUUGUUUAAUACCCUUAUUGAAAAAUUUUUUUGCCAUUGUCUUUUGGGCGAUUUUUUCUUCUCUAACGAGCUACUUUUUAAGACGAAAACCCUACACAUUGCCUCCUCAAAGUAAAGCCAUUACUUAACUAUAAAAUGCAUGAACAAAAAAUAUUUCAUUACUAAAUGUCAUCACAAAAUAGAAGACCGAAGGAAGAGCAUGGAGAAAAGAGAGAGACUUACAUGCCUAAUUAGAAAUUUCACAUCAAUACAUUGUAAGAAAUGUGUCCUGCGAAGAGAGAGGGGGGUCAUUACUGUGUUCCCCUGUCCGGACGAAUCAAAAAAUUCCCAGAUACGCUCUCUCCUCCCAUUAGAAAAAAAUAUCCCCGGCACAUGAUGAGCGUUUUCAAAUGUUUUUCGUUCACGCGCAAAUGCAAUAACGAUUUUAAACCACUUUUAAGCCGGUAAUCUAGUACAAUGCUUGCGCCAAUUAAGCUCAGCUCUUUAACCCCACACCGGGCACGAACAAUCAUUGAUCGAUCUAAUCUAUCAAAGUACAAACAAACAUAAGAGAUCAUCUGAAGUAAAAACAAGCAAACAAAAUCCGAUGACGUACUAGUUGCUCUCAAAGUUUAGUCCAGAACUCGCGGAAAUGUUUAACUGCCAUCUCAGCUUAAAGGAUCUUCUUGGACUUGAAAUGUCCUGCAGCUGACAGUAUCUCACAUAUUGUAAAAACCCUUAAUAUUUCCGUUAGGGAGUGAAGGUUGUCGACAAUUAGCAUUGAUCUGUUUAAUUUAAGGGAUCAGUAAGUCUUGAUAAUCGCAAACAAUCAUUAGUGGUUAAGAAAGGAAGCUAACGACAAGCCAUGGAGUUAUAAGAACAGCGACUUACUUCUAGAUAGCACAGUACUCGAUUCAUUAUAAGUGGAAAUCAAGGCGAGAUUCAGAAGAACUAUACUAACCUUCAGUGAAAUUCAAGAUGAAGGGACAUAUGAUGUUGUGCGCUAUGCUAGUAAUGACCAUCCUCUCUGUCACCAUCCCACAAAGCGAGGCCAACCCAUCCAUGUGUCUAUGGGAUUGUUCUGAACAAACCAGUUUUUGUCAAAGAUUUUGUAGAGGCGGGAAUUGCAAUGUUUGCGCUUCACUCAACUCUGCAUGCAGGAGUGGAUGCCGAAAGAAAUAAAACGGAUUAAAAGUCUUCUUAAAUGUACCAAAAUCAACCUUUAAACGCCCAAUAACACCACAGAACUUCAGAGCCUAAGUAAGCAUAGAUAUAUUGGAAAUAACUGUAUCAGUGGAAACGGUUGACUGUUUAGUUCUUUCUGUUGUAGUUAAAAGUAAUACCAAAUUGUGUGAGUUUAUGUUUGUCAUUGUCAGGAAUAUCUGAUAAUUAAUGCUAAAUAAAGCUAACAAUAAACUCAGUUUUGCUGCU